rnacentral:rRNA from 1 species
GAUCCUGGCUCAGGAUGAACGCUAGCGACAGGCUUAACACAUGCAAGUCGAGGGGCAGCAUGAUUUGUAGCAAUACAGAUUGAUGGCGGCCGGCGCACGGGUGAGUAACGCGUACGCAACUUACCUAUCAGAGGGGGAUAGCCCGGCGAAAGUCGGAUUAAUACCCCAUAAAACAGGGGUCCCGCAUGGGAAUAUUUGUUAAAGAUUCAUCGCUGAUAGAUAGGCAUGCGUUCCA